CUGUCAUCAGAUCGAACGUAACUACGCUCGAUAAGCGUCCUUCUGUUAUCAGAAAAAACUAAGGUGCCUAACAAACAACAUCGCAAUAAAUCGGUUCGACCUCAGUCGUUAUCGACAUUUACCUGGUAAGUCAAAACUCUUUAAGUUUCUGAAGUAUGAUUGCUGAAAGGGAUAAUUACCAUGAGUUAUGAAGCUAAAAAGAAUUAAGGAAAUAGUUCAUGCAAUUGACUGUUUAGCAGAACAACGGAUUCUCAAUGUAUCGGAGGCUAAUGAAAGACAAUCGGGAUUCCAAAAAAUAAUUGAAAUGGAGAAAUUGGCCACUCUUAACUUGAAAAAUCCAGAAUUAAAUGGUCAUGGAUGGGGACGAAAACACAACUUUUUUCCAUGGAUAUGUGAAUAACAAGCAUCGUAAAAACAGGAUAAUGGGGCUGCAAAUUGGUGGAUUGUGGGUUACAGAGGCAGAGAUGAUGAAAACUGAAUCCUUUGAUUUUUAUCAAAAAAAGUUUUUGGAAAAGUGGUCUUCAAGACCAAAACUUGUCAGUAAUAAAUUUUCCAAGCUUGACUCCAAUGCAAAAUCACAAUUAGAGAUCCCUUUCACAGUUGACAAGAUCAAAUGUGUUGUAUGGGAUUGUGGUAGUGAGAAGGCACCUGGCCCGGACGGUUUCACUUUUAAAUUUCUAAAGAAGUAUUGGGAGAUGAUGAAAGAUGAUAUAUUGCAGUUUGCCAAAUAUUUUAAAAGACAUGGAAAGUUGGGUAGAGGGUGUAAUUCGUCCUUUAUUACACUAGUACCAAAAAUCAAAGAUCCAGUCACAAUUGGCGAUUUUAGGCCAAUAAGCCUAAUUGGAUGCAUGUAUAAAAUAAUCACAAAGACUCUCUCAAAUCGGCUGAAGAAGGUUAUUGACAUGAGUAUUGGGGAUGUUUAGUCGGCUUUUGUGGAAAGGAGAAACAUCCUCGAUGGACCAUUAAUUGUGAAUGAAUUAUGCUCGUGGAGUAAGAAGACUACAAAGAAAAUGUUUCUAUUCAAAGUAGACUUCGAUAAAGCCUUCGCCUCAAUCAAUUGGGAAUACCUUGACUUGAUAUUAAUGUAGCUAGGAUAUGGCGAGAAAUGGCGGGGAUGGAUUCAAGGCUGUCUUAGAUCGGCGAGAGCAUCAGUACUAAUAAACGGAUCACCCACAAAAGAAAUUGAAAUGGGACAGGGUCAGGGAGACCCAUUAUCCCCCUUCUUGUUUAUCAUAGCCAUGGAGGGGCUCAACAUAGCUAUGAAAACAGCAUGCAAAAAGGGUAUAUUCACCGGGAUUAAACUGCCACAUGAGGAGAUAACCAUCUCACAUCUAUUACAUGCGGGCGACGCUCUAUUUGUUGGUGAGUGGAGCAAAGACAACAUAAAAAACCUCUCCAGAAUUCUAAGGUGCUUUCAUGUAUUAUUGGGACUUAAGAUUAACUUCCACAAGUCAAGAGUGUUUUGAAUUGGGGUGGAUAUGCAACAGGUUACACGAUAUGCGAUCCCUCUUGGAUGUGAGUCGGCUAAACUUCCGUUUAAUUAUUUAGGAGUAUCGGUUAGAGCAAAUAUGAACUCAAAGAAAAAUUGGAAACCGGUAAUAGAGAGGUUUCACUCUAAACUAUCUGCAUGGAAGGCAAAGACUUUCUCAAUGGGUGGACGUCUUACACUCACCAAAGCUAUCCUUGGCAGCCUUCCCACAUACUAUUUUUCACUAUGUGUAGCACCGAUUGGGGUCAUUAACUCUCUGGAUGCAUAAGAAGGAAAUUCCUAUGGGGCAUGAAAGAGGGAGGGAACAAGGUUGCUGAUUACCCACUGAUUACCCACAAAUAGGGUCGUGGGUGAAGGUCUGUUUUGUUGUAGUGAAGGUCGUCUCUCCAAAGGAUGUUGGAGGUAUUGGUUUGGGUUCAUUGAGAGCACUAAACCUAUCAUUAAUUGUAAAGUGGUGGUUGCGUUUGAGAAUUGAUAAAAGUAGCUUAUGGAGUAAAGUUAUUAUUGGCAUUCAUAAUCUCAAAAACAAGGUUGCUGAUUGCAUAUCAAAAAAGACAAUUACAUGAGUUUGGAACAAUGUGGCAAGAGUUAAAGAUGAUAUGUUGAAAGAAGGUAUCAAUAUCAAUGAACUAUUUAAAAAGCUGGUUGGGGGAAGGAGAUAGCACUCUCUUCUGGCAAGACUCAUGGUUAGGUAAUGAUACUCUUAAGUAUUAUUCCCUGAUCUGUACAAGCUAGAGAAGAGAAAGAAAAUGCAAAGUUGGAAGAAGAAUAAACAAUAGAGUGGUAAAUUCGGAUUGUAAAGGAAAAGAGAUUUCAACUAAUGAUUUUGAUUUACAGCCAACCAUUGUUUAAAUACAAGUAUGAGAGUAGUUGAGAGUGAGAUAUACGCUCCUGAUUCUAUGCGAUAACUAUUGACCUUUUGAAUACAUUAAUACACACGUUUACAAUAAUUAAAAUACAUAUUAUAUACAUAAUUGCUAUUACCCCCAGCAAGCUAAGGACGGGGACGCACUUGCAGCUUGGAACGAAGGAAAUUAAGGCAAUCUUUUCCCAGUGGUUUAGUGAAGACAUCUGCAAGUUGAUCCACACUUGAUACAUGAGAAAUUUUAAGUUGGCCAGAGUCAAUUUGUUCUCUUAUAAAGUGGAAAUCUAAAGCAAUGUGCUUAGAUUGUGUACUAAUGACUGGAUUCUUUGUCAUGAAGAUAGUGCCUACAUUGUCACAUAGCAACAAAGGAGGAGCUGAAAUAGGAACUUGUAAGUCUUGGAUUAGCUGUUUGAGACAUAGCAGUUCUGUGGUUAUGUGAGCUAAUGCACGAUACUACGCUUAUGUACUUGACCGAGCAACUACCCUUUCUUUCCUUGAAGUCCAACUGAUUAGAUUGGAGCCAUGAAAAAUGGCAAAGCCAUAUUGAGAACGAUUGUCGUCGGGAUCUGAGUUCCACCCCGAAUAAGAAAAAGCAUGUAGACCUUUUGCAUUAGUGGAUUUGAAGUGAAUUGAGUAAUUCCGAGUCCCAUUUAAAUACCGUAGUAUGCAUUUAACGGCUUGCCAAUGGCGAUUGGUGGGGGAGUGCAUGAAUUGACAAACUCGGUUUACCGAGUAUGCGAUGUCCGGUCUAGUAAUAGUUGCAUACUGUAGAGAUCCAACUAUUUGACGAUAAAGCUUAGGAUCAGAAAAUGGGUCUCCUUGUUUAAUCAGACGACUGUAAGGAUCAGCUGGAGUUGACAUUGGAGAUGAAAGAGACAUGUUGCUUUUGUUCAGUAUAUCUGUGAUAUAGGAUUCUUGAGACAAAACGAUACCAGAUUUGGACUUCUAGAUUUGUAAACCCAGAAAAUAAUGUAAAUCACCCAUGUCUUUUAGAGAGAAUUGGUUGUUGAGACUGCAAAUGAAAUUAGAAACUUUGACAUCAUCUGAACCUGUGACAAUCAGAUCAUCAACAUAUAUCAAGACAUAAAUAGUUGUGGUUUGUGAAACAUGAACAAAUAGAGAAGUGUCAGAUUGACAUGUGCGAAAUCCAUUUGAGACCAGAUAUGUAUUGAGUUUAUUGAACGAAGCCCUAGGUGCUUACAGACAUGAGUAGGAUGUGUUGCAUCUUCAAAGCCCUUUGGUUGCUUCAUGUAAACGGUUUCAAUUAAGUCACCAUUUAGAAAAGCGUUGUUAAUAUCUAAUUGUCGAAUUCUCCAAUGGUUUGAAAAUGCAAUCGACAAAACCAAACGAAUGGUGGUAGGCUUAAUUACCGGACUGAAUGUGUCAAAAUAGUCAACCCCUACCUCUUGAGUGAAGCCUUGAGCCACCAAUCGGGCUUUAUAUCGCUCAAUUUUACCAUCAGCUCCUUUCUUGAUCUUGUAAAUCCAUUUGCAGCCAACAAUGUUGGAGUUGGUAGGACAAGGGACAAGAGACCAGGUGUUGUUUUUCAUAAGAGCUGCAUAUUCUAUCUUCAUCGCAUCAUGCCAGCACUGAUAUUUAUUGGCUUGGAUGAAGUUGGUUGGCUCGAAAGUGAGAGAGGAACCAUCAACAAGAAAUACUUUUGGCUUAAGAGAGUUCGUUUGAGCUCUAGUGACCAUGGAGUGUUGAUUAUUUUCUGCUGGGCGAAAAAUCGUUGUUGAUUGUGGGGAUGAGGCAGUAGAAUUUUGAGCGAACAAAGGAGACGCCUCAGGUGCUAGGGUAGAUAAGAUGGGCUCUUGUGAGGGUGGACUGUUAGAUGGAGUGGGGUCUUCCAUGUGAUUGUGAGUAGUUGGGCUAGGUAGUGAGCCUUGAGAAAUCAUACCCGGAUUUGGACUUUGAGGAACUGAACUAGGUGAGGGAGUGAAAGUGGCAUUAAUUGUUGGAGAUAAAUCAUUGUAUUGUGAGGAGGGUGUAACACUUGGUGAUAUUGAGCUAUCAUAUGGAAAUUUUUCUUCAUCAAAAACGACAUGUCGUGAGACAUAUAUUUUUGAGAUAGGUUGAUGAUAACAAAUAUACCCUUUGUGUGAUGCACUAUACCCUAAGAAAAUACAUGGUUUGGAUCGAAAAUCGAUUUUGUGAGGAUUGUAGGGUUGGAGAUAGGGAUAACAAAGACAACCGAAAAUUUUUAGAAAUGAAUAAUCGGGAAUUUUGUUGUACAACUUUUGGUAUGGAGACUCAUAGUUUAGUACAGGAGUAAUGGUGCGAUUAUUCAAGUAUGUUGCAGUUUUGAAGGCGUGUUCCCAAAAAAAUUCGGUAAGGAAGAUUGUGCUAGUAACGUGAGACCCUUCUCGACAAUAACUCGAUUUCGCCUUUCGAUUGCUCCAUUUUGUUCCUGUGUAUAUGGACAUGAAACCCGAUGAUUGAUGCCACGGGUUUUAAGAAACGAAGAGAUGUUUCUAUAUCCCCCCCCCCCAAAUCGGUUUGCAUACUUUUGAUGUCACAGUCAAAUUGUGUUUUUACCAUGGUGAGAAAAUUAAGAAAAACUUGAUAAACUUGUGACUUGUGAGAUAGAAAAUAAACCCAUAUAAACUUGGAGCAAUCAUCCAUAAACAACACAAUAUCUAUGACCAUUUAAAGAAAAAACUGGAGAAGGUCCCCAAACAUCCGAAUAAAUCAAUUCAAAUGGUUUUGAAGAAAUAACAUGAGAUGUAGGAUAUGCAUCCUAUGACUUUUUCCUAAUUGACAUGAGUCACAAAUAUUAGGAAAUUUAUUAUUGGAAACAGGAAGUUUAAAACUUGAAACUAAACGCCUAUGGAUUGAUUCAUACGGGUGAGCAAGCCGCAUAUGCCAUCCAUGUAAAGAAACUCGACUGGAAUUGAAGACUUUUGGAGAGGAGCGAAGACUGGUAGGAUGCAACCGAUAGAGCCCGUCCUUUUUAUCCCCUUGGAUUAGAGUUUGACGCUGAAAUGUCUUAACAGAACAAGUUUUAGGCCAAAAUUCAACAAAAACAGGAUUAUCAUCAGUGAGUUUUGAGACACUAAGGAGGGAUUUUGUGAGAUCAGGAACAUGAAGAACAUUAUUUAAUUUAAGAUGGGGUAGAGAGGAAGAUCUGAUAUGAGAGAUAGUCAAAUUUUUACCAUUGCCUACUUGGAGUUUGUCAUCUCCAUUUUGUAGGAAUCAACAAUGUUGAGUUUGUUGAGGUCUGGUAUGACAUGAUCGGUUGCUCCACUGUCUACAUACCAAGCUGGAUCAAAUACUGUAGAUUGACUUUGCUGAGUCAAGUGAGCUUGGUGAGGAUUGCCUUUUGGAUUUGGUUUCUUGGAGGGAUAGUCAGUGAGAUUACCUCGCUGCCAACAGUCAAUGGCUUCAUGACCAGGCUUGCCACACAAUUGACACAUCACACGCUUCUUUCUAGGGUCUGAAUUUCGAGAAGCAUAGGAAGAGUUGGAGACCUGUCCAUUUUGAGCUUGAGUUUUGUGGGUAGAUCGGUUGACAUUUAGGGCAGCAACAGUGGGGGCAGAAUUAACUGAAGCAAGACGCAUGUGUUCUUGCUCAAGUCUCGCUCCUUCUUGUAAUAGAUACCCUACAAGAUCAUCAACCGUUAGAACUUCUGAUUUCAUCAUAAAUGCUGUAAUAAAACUCCCAUAGGAAGAAUCUAAGCCACUCAGAAUGUAUCCAAUAAGAUCUUCAUCGUCAACAAGAUGAAGAUUUUCAGCUAAAGAAUCAGAGAUGGAGCGUUUUCGCUCUAUGUACUCAAGCAUGGUCAUAGAACCUUUUGCAAGAGUUUGCAAUUGAACUUUCAACUGCAUUCGACAUGCCCUAGUCUGGGCUUGAAACAAUUUUUCAAUUUCUGCCAGGCGUCACGAGAUGAGGUAGAAUGAGCAACAAGAGCAGACGCAUGAUUAGUAAGUGUGGAUUUUAGCCAUAGUAAAACAAACUUAUCACGUUUCUUUCAGGUGGUAUACUCCGGAUUUGGAAUGGUAGUAGCAGGAACCGCAGCAACAGCAGGUGCGAUGGCAGUGGCUGGUAUCGCUGCAACAGCGGGAACAUCAACAGUCUCGGUCGGAGGCUUAGGGUUUAACACAAAAUCCUCCAAAUCAAACGUAUCUAGUGCUGAGAUUAUAUUGGUGCGCCAUAAGGCAAAGUUUUUGUGAUCCAAUUUAGUAGUAAUUGGGGGAAUCUGAAAAUUGAGAGUGGGGGCGGUGGUGGUAGCCAAAUUGAGAAGAUUGGCAGUUCCGGUAGCCAUGAAA